AGUCCGCCUUAGCGCCGCGGGCCUGGUUCUCCCCGCUCCCGCGGUCCCCGAGGACGCCGCGUGGGCGGCCGUACCGUUCCCCAGCUGAAGAGUUCUGAAUCCACGCCGGAUCCUUCUCAACAGUCUGUUUUACGGGAACACCUCAUUACCGUGACCCGCAGUUCUGGUUCCGGAAUGAGGGAUCUUCCUUGCGCCAGUGAUGGUUAACUCCCGUCCCGAGUUUUCUUGUCCCGGGUUUUUUCUUCCCGGAUUUUCUCGUCCCGGAUUUCGGCACCAACUCUUACGUGCGCCCAACUGGCCAGGAAGAACGACGCUGCAACAGGAUCUUUCUGCACACGUGUUUAUUCAGUCCUGUUUCUUCUUGUUUAUAUCUCCCUUGUUUAUAUCUCCCUUGUUUAUAUCUCCCCCGAACCCUGGGCCUCUCACUCUUUUAUACUCUCAGUUCCCAUCCACGCACAGCAGGCCACGCCACCUCACCAGGCACGCAGCUUCAGCUAAUCAGGGCAGCAGGGGCAAAUCUCCACCAAAUUGGAUUCACCUGUAUCCUGGUACACCUGCGCAGCACUCAAGAUGUUUGUGUCUUAUAUGAGGAAGUCAGGUGCAAGUCAUAUGACUUAGCUGCAGUCCCUGGCGCCUUUGGGACUGCCGCCACACCCGCUCCCCACAUCUACACAUAGCAGUUUCCUGAUGGUGAAAAAAGACUAAAGUGUGGAGAGAGAACUUUCUCUUCACAAUCUCCUGAGGGGCAGGAUGGCAGAAAGGGGAGCUGAUGGCCUAGCCCUCUCUCCUUUUCUCUUUUUUUCUCUGCUGUCACAGCAGUGACAGCCCCUAGGGGGAGGAAAGAAGAGUUUUAAUGGGGCAGGAGGCUCUUCCACCAGGGUCUGCCAGGUGGUUAUAUAGGCAACCUGAUCCUGGUGGCCUGGCUUUCCAUAGACAACAUCCUUAACCCUAUAGAUGGUGGGGCAGUUGGAGGUUUCUUCUGGCCAUCUCACAUUGAAGGUGGGCCAGUCAUUUCUGUAAAAGACAGACAUCUUUUUCUUUUCUACAUGAAGAUCUUGUCUGGUGCUAAUUUACAGACCUUCUUGAAAUGAUCUAACACAAGACUCAAGCGGGUGGAACUGGUUUGGCCCAUGUUUAGAAUCAAGACAGUUACAAAUAGAGACAUAAAAGUCAAUACAAAUAGAAAUGUACCAGUAUAGUGUGAGAAAAAGAACCAAAAUUCAGAAGGAAGGCCUGUCCUAUAAGUGGGUUCUAUGUGGCAGGAGUGAACUACCAGAGGGAUCAAGGAUCAAGUGUGUCAGAGGCGUCUUUUGACCUACUUGGCACAGGUUCCACUGGUCCAUCUCCUUAAAUCACUCGGGCUUCUAGAAAUUGGCUUAGGCCAUUCAGACUCAGACUGUCUAGGCAUACAGGGGCACAGACAACACAGAGCCUCAGACAGAGACACAGACAGAGCAUUUACUCAGCAAUGGGUGGCCAAACACUCAAUGUGGUGAGGGCCUUGGACACUUCCUGGCCAAUGCAACAAAAGUUUAAGUCUGAAAACACAUAUAGACCACCACUCACAUAUGCAAUUGACAAGGGUGUUUUUAUUUUACAAAAGGAGAAAGCCUGCAUGCAGAGGUCGGCCACUUACAAAAAUGGCGAAGAUGACAGACAAAGGCACACAGGCCUUUUUAUAGGGAACAAGGGGAGUUUUAGCUACGGUUUAGUAAUCUAAAACUUUAUUGGUGGGUGCUGGGAAUGCUACAUGGGUCGGUUUCUGAUUGGCUUGUGUCCAUGUGGUCAGUGGGCUGCAAUCCUGUGACAUGAACAUUUAACCACAGGCUGAGAGGCCCAAACCAUAUGAAGCUGUCCAGCACAGAUGGCCCAUCCUGAGAUAAGAUAUUUCUCCAUCGUUGUGGUUAUCUCCAGGCUCUUCUUUGGAUGAGUGAUUUUAUAGCUUUGCUCUUGGAAUUUACGGUCUGUUCUUAUGGUCUAGUUCUUGGGACUUAUGACUGGGUUAUGGCCAGUUCCUGGAAGUGCCUUUCCUUUUGGAGUCAGUCCUGGGCCUAAAAUGGAGUUUAUGUUGGCCUCACAUUUUCAUGUCACCAUUUCAGUGACAUUUAGACAGUCUUUUUUCUAAUUGUGUAUGUGAAGAUAUAUAGUUCACAUCUUUAAUCCCAGCACUCGGGAAGCAGAGAGGCAGGUAGAUCUAUGUGAAUGUGAGGCUAGCCUGGUCCAUCUACAUAGCAAGUUCCAAGUCAGCCAGGGGUAUAAGCUAUGUAAUGAGACCUUGUC
rnacentral:lncRNA from 1 species